AGGAUAAACGCUGGCGGCGUGCCUUAUGCAUGCAAGUCGAACGUGAAGCCGACUUCGGUUGGUGGAAAGUGGCGAACGGGUGAGUAACACGUAGGAACCUGCCCAGAAGUGGGGGAUAACCCCGCGAAAGCGGAGCUAAUACCGCAUGUGGUCGAAAGACUAAAGCUUUGGCGCUUCUGGAGGGGCCUGCGGCGGAUUAGCUAGUUGGUGGAGUAACGGCCUACCAAGGCGACGAUCCGUAGCUGGUCUGAGAGGAUGGUCAGCCACACUGGAACUGAGACACGGUCCAGACUCCUACGGGAGGCAGCAGCAAGGAAUUUGCGCAAUGGGCGAAAGCCUGACGCAGCAACGCCGCGUGGGGGAUGAAGGCCUUCGGGUUGUAAACUCCUUUGCGAGGGAAGAAGAUCUGACGGUACCUCGCGAAUAAGCCACGGCUAACUACGUGCCAGCAGCCGC
rnacentral:rRNA from 1 species